UUGUCAUUUGCAGAAGAACUGGUAGGGAAAUUCGAGUCAAGUCAUAAGAACCAUAAGGCCUCCAGACAAUGAGGAUAUAUUUGAAGGAUGAAUAAAAAUUAUUAUAUUGAAGAUCUCAAAAGGUGAAGCAGCUAGCAAAUCAACUACAAGCACUAUCUAAAACGACAAGUACUGUCUAAAAAAAUAUUGCUGAACUUGUAACUAAUACUGGUGAUAUUUUUCUUUUCUUUUCUUUUAAACAUUAGCUAAUACUGGUGAUACGAUGUUCCUUAUGUAACAUUACAAAGACGUAUCUAGAUUAAUCUUUCUUUUCACACAUACACACACAUGCAUGUGCUCAUGCAUACAUACACCUGCAUGCAUACACAAACGUGUGCGGGCACGCACACAACCUAUAUCUAUAGGAAAACACUUAAAGAUGCAUAUAGGUGAAGUUCUACCGUACUUCACCCAUAGCCCAUCAGCUCACACGGUCACGGUAGUUAGAUCGUGUCUAAAUUUUAAUAAUUUUUUCAAAGACUUGAAAUUUUUUCAAAAGUGUAUGCCGUAGUGAGGUGCACCUGAAUAAAAUAUAAAAAAAAUAUUAAUUUGAAUGAUAAAAUGCCCAAAAUACCCCUGUAAAGUUUCAAGCGUAUUUUCAUCAUUUUAUUGUUUGACAAUUAUUUUAUUUAAUAUUUUAUUUUGGUGCAAUCUGGUCAAAUGAACACAUGUCCAAAAUUUCAAAUAAAUCUGAUUAGCAAAAAAUUUAUUAAAAUUCAAAAACCAUCAGACAACCAUGACUGUGUGAUGGAUUUUGGAUGGUGAUGUGGGUGAUGUACUAUAAAAAAAA
rnacentral:lncRNA from 1 species